UGUCACACAGCUUCACAAUUGCGUAUGGACUGCGGAAAAGAAACACUUAGCUAGGCUAGCUAAGCUAGCCUACUUGAGUUAUUUUGAAGCCAGUUAACGUUAUACUUUGGUGUUACAAAAAUACAAGAGAAAGUUAACAUUUGAAUGAAACAAGCGGGAGUUAGCUUCAGUGUUGCUAAUGAUAACAGCUAAUGUUUUUGCAAGAGUAGUAAGCUAGCAGCCAUAAAGAGAGGACAUGAGGGCUUCUGUCAGCAAGCAAACAAACAACAAGUGCAGUGGGAUAAUGGCUAAUGGACUUUGAUCAUUUCGUCUUCAAAUGGACCACUCUCCAUGGGGAAAAUGAGAAUGGACUUUGACAUCAAAUAACGGGACUAAGAAACAAACGGAGGCUGCCCUAGCAUCACCAGAAGGGAGACAUGAGGAAGAGAGGGAAAGCGUCAGUCUGCUUGCUGGAGAAUAUUCUGAGAGGAACUUUGCCCGCAACGUGCAAAGUCUUGAAGCAACGCCGUCAUCGCCAGCUGAGUCUGAUCACCGCUUCAUGUUGAACAUACUUUUAUACAGCAUAAAGUCAUGUUUGAAUAAAGGUUAUAAUAAAGAUA